rnacentral:ncRNA from 1 species
UCUUAUUAAGAGCAGGCGGAGGGAAUUAGCCCUAUGAAGCCCGGCAACCAUCGGAAGAACUUUGUUUUGACCGAAACGGUGCUAAAUCUAACAGCAGUUACUGCUGAGAGAUGAGA